GUUCCGGGGCUCUCUGUCCUAUUGGUGGGGUUGCCUGCGCGCCGUUCUACAUAUUACCACCAGAAGGCGACAGGUUUCGGAUGGAGCGCGGUGACGUCAUUAUUUUCCCCAGCUGUUCCCGAUCACCUUCAUCAGCGGAGCAGUCAUAGGAGUGGGCCGUCAGUCCAACGUCGCCUGAGUGUUGUGCCAGUCACGGUUGCCCGAGUUCCCAGACUCACCUCUCUGCUGUUUGCAAAUCUCCUCUGGACUCCACGGCUGGCGGCCGUUCCACUCCUCCGUGUCUCCGUUUCACCCGAGCCUACCUGUCCGCUCCCCGCCGCACUCCUCCGCUGUCCCUGGAUCCAUUAGGGGCCGAGACCCCGGACAAACCCAGUUUCCCUCCACAACUCUGCUCCAACAACCACAAUGAACUGUUGCUACCAUUACUGUUUAUUCCCCUGGACCAGACCACCCCGACUCUCUCUCUUUGAUUAUUGUGUGAUCUUUAAUAAAUCAUUUAAAACUGA